AAUAGAUACCCCGGUAGUCCACGCCGUAAACGAUGAGUGCUAAGUGUUAGGGGGUUUCCGCCCCUUAGUGCUGCAGCUAACGCAUUAAGCACUCCGCCUGGGGAGUACGGUCGCAAGACUGAAACUCAAAGGAAUUGACGGGGGCCCGCACAAGCGGUGGAGCAUGUGGUUUAAUUCGAAGCAACGCGAAGAACCUUACCAGGUCUUGACAUCCCAUUGACCGCUAUGGAGACAUAGUUUUCCCUUCGGGGACAGUGGUGACAGGUGGUGCAUGGUUGUCGUCAGCUCGUGUCGUGAGAUGCUGGGUUAAGUCCCGCAACGAGCGCAACCCUUGUUCUUAGUUGCCAUCAUUUAGUUGGGCACUCUAAGGAGACUGCCGGUGACAAACCGGAGGAAGGUGGGGAUGACGUCAAAUCAUCAUGCCCCUUAUGACCUGGGCUACACACGUGCUACAAUGGACGGUACAAACGGUUGCCAACCCGGCGAGGGGGUAGCUAAUCCGGAUAAAACCGGUUCUCAGUUCGGAUUGUAGGCUGCAACUCGCCUAC
rnacentral:rRNA from 1 species